CAACAAUGUUGAUAUAUAAAAUUGACAAAGAUCUUUAAAAGCUCAAUUUAAUAACGAGAUCAUUUCUUUGGUAGUUUGUUGAAAAGGUACCACACACUGAUGUACUAUUUACAUCUGAUAACGGUAUGUUGUCAUGUAUUUACUUAAAGUCUAUGCUAAUGUGUUUAAAUAAUAGAGCAGCACGAAAAUAGCGAAAAAGGGAAUCAAUAAAUAGAUUAAGAUUCUCCGUUAAUGGAUCAUGCAUUACUAUAAGCUUAAGACUCUGUUCAAACUUGUGGUUAUCAAGAUUGAGGGAUAAGCACUCUCUUAUUUAUUCAUGCCAAGAGAAACGGUUGUUCUCUUCUAAAAAACUUUUGAGACAUUACUGCAGGAGAUGCGGGGCGAGCAUCAUUAGAUACUUCAGUAGAGUGGGAGGCUGAUGAAAUCAAAAACUUCCCUUUCAGCAUUCCUGACCCCGCCGCCAAACGUCAAAGUUGAGUGGGCGGCGAGCUGGCAGAAAUGUUCGCUCCGUUCUGAGUUCAAAUUCCACCGAGGUCGACUCUGCCUUUCAUCCUUUCAGGGUCGAUUAAAUAAGUACCAGUUACGCAAUGAGGUCGAUAUAAUCGACUUAAUCCGUUUGUCUGUCCUUGUUUGUCCCCUCUGUGUUUAGCCCCCUGUGGGUAGUAAAGAAAUAUAUUUACACGUUGAAACUUGUUUAAUUAUUUUUCACUUCAAAUACAAUGUAAUUAUAUAGACGUGGAAAAAUAUAUUUCCACAUCCUGAUUUUAAUCUACUGCACUGAAAUGUCUAUCUGUUUUGUAAUUUGUACAUGUCUAAGCUCAUAACUUGACUUCUUAAUAACAGGGGUUCUCACCCAUAUUUUAUCUAUGGACCCCAUUGAUUACUAUUAUAUUCUGGUGGACUUCCAUAACCAAACUAGUUUUAUAGAAACUUCAUAGAAAAUUCCUACUUUGUUUUUCACACAGUAACUUGUGUAGAUUGAACUAUGUAAAAUGUUGAAAGAAACCUAACUGUUUCUUGCAAUACAUACCAAGUAAAUUUUUUUAGGGGACCCUAAAAUACUAUUCAGGAUCCUCAGUUUACUAUUCUGUUGCAUGGACUCUGGUUGAAAACCACCGUUCAAUAACAUAUGUUGCCCUGACUGUAUUUGCUGAUGUAAAUAAAUAUUCAGUUAGUCAAACAACCGUAUUAGUUUAAAAAAUUAGUUUGCUUUUUUUUUUUCUGGAAAAUACAGAAUAUAACUUCAGACAUGUUUUCCUGAUAUUUUAAAUCUUUGCCUCUUUUUUCAGUAUCUACUCUAAUCUAGGAAAACAUAAAAAGUGAUUCUAUUUCAAUAGACAUCAUUAUCGUAUAUAAACCUGUUUAGUACCAGCAUUGUAAAGUUUGUAGUUGGCGAUAACUUUCCCCUUUAAUAUAUUCCUCAAUUCACAUUUUUGGGCAGAAUUCUGGUUUAAGCCCCCUAUAUAACCCCUCGUAAGUUAUUUAGAUUUUGAAAUUUUCAGAAAACUUUUGCGAAUUUGUGUUCUGCACAUAGGAAUUCUGCCAAACCUUGCACAACAAGCCAAUCAGGAAACUUAUAAGCAUUCAUUCAAUUUGUUAGAGAUAGCUACCAAAUCUUUCUCAGAUUGUACUUAACUUUUUGAAAAAAGGACACAUUGGAUAAUAUUGCCUACUAGAUUAGAAGCUGUCCAAUAGGGUGUCUUUUAAGAUGGCUCCUGCGGAGGACAGGUGACUUUUAAGCUAGCUCCUGUGGAUGGCUCUUGAUUGGGACUUAAGCCCAACAAUGACACUUCAUGCAUUGAGUACAUAUUAGAUUUUAUUAAACUUGACCAAUAUUUUUCAAGCAAUGAACAAUUUUCAUCAAAACAAUGAUAUAAUUUGUUUAUUUGGAACUUAUUGCAAAGCUGCAGGAUAAACAACAUUUUUGGUCUUCCCAUUCAGGAUCAGUACAAAUAGCUUGUUUGCCUUCCCAACUCUUGAACAACCAACAAAGAGCUGGCCAUGAGAAAAUCAGGGUUCCAUCAGAUGAAACCCAGUUACUUUCAAUGAUUGUCCUUAGGACAUAUUGAUUGACAUUGCAUAGCUCACUCUCACUGGAAACUGAAGUCUUUUGAGCUCAAAAUGAAGAUCUGGAAGAAUUAAGGGGAUUCUUGGAAUUAAAACUCUUUUCUCCUUUCCUGGACCAGUAAGGAUCUCUGCUUCCAAGAGAUGAGGAAACCUCUUCUUGACAAUUAACCUUGUUUCUUUACAAAGCUUUGGAGGAUCUAGAUUUCUCAAUAGCACAACUGGCACAUUUUCUUUUAGUUCCAGCUUGUUUCAUGGCAUUCCAGGAGGAUUCAAUGAGUUCAGGAACUCUAUUGGAUAAUACAUUUCCUAUUCUUGUACAAACUACCUUGUCAAUGGAAAAGCACUUUAUGCUUUCUUUUGAAAUUUCUUGGAGAAGUUUUAGUUGAUGCUAUUCACAGCUUGAUUCUUGGGAGCUAAUAUGGCUCUCUCUCAAAGCCAGAUUGAAUCCAUGAAGUGGUGUUUAAUGUUUGGAUAAACAUGGUUAAUCCAGUCUUGGAUACUUGAGACUGAAACUCCGAGAGUAAAAUAUCUCCAUUUUGAUGGUUCCAUUGCCAAUCUGCAACAACAAAACAGCAAAUCAUCCUGCUUCAAGGUCAUCUGUGAUUCUAACUCUCAUGUUAGUUUUCAGGCUGAGUCUUUGAACAUGGCUUCAGAUGUAAGAAUUUUUCAGGCAAGCAUUGAUUUCAUCAGUUGGAGUUCCUCUUGCAAUGACUGGUAAUGUUUGUCUAAAAUCACCAGUGAGUAGCACAGUGAUACUGACCAUGAUUUGUGAAUUCUGUCUAAUGUAUUGGAUUGUUUUGUCCAGGGCCUCAAAUACUCAAUUGUGUGCCAUGGUACAUUCAUCCCUGACAAUGAAGCUUGUCUCCUCCAGUAGUUUAGCCAAGUUGGUUCCUCUCUUGAUGUUGCAAAUAGGAGUUUAAUUGCAGUUCAAAUCCAAUGGAAGUUUGAAGGUGUUGUAUGCCCUCCAGGCAAGAGGGUAGCAGCAAUUCCAGACGAUGAUACUACUAGAGCUACUUUUCUUUGGAGUCUCCAGGUGCAUCCAAGAAGAAAAUCCCUCAUUGUUGUUGUUGAUGUCAUCAAGGACCUUCUGAUAUAUUUGCUGUUGGUCUUGUUUCACCAGGGGCUCAUUGUUUUGAACACAUUACUGCAGUUCUUCCAUGUUGUAUCCUGUUUCUCUCAAUAUGACUUAUCUCAAGUUCUCCAGUCCAUCUCUCUGGAAGGCAGAUUUGAACUCUUGAACAUAUGAAUUUGUUUGGUGAAGAAAUUUCUGUAAGUUCAGAAUUGUGCUUAGUUUCAAAUCCUGAAGGAGGUUAUUUCUUAUCUCAGCUUGGACUUGGUGAUCUUCUAGAAAAUAGAUUUGGAGAAACUUCUGGGGUUCAUUUGGUAGAGGCCACAGACUGCCAAUCCAGUGGUAUACUUGUCCUUGGAUUCUGAAUGUGGACUACCAUCCAGGCAGAGUUGUAUCAUUUGCUCCAAAAGAAGUCAUUGUAAAUGCAUUGUUGUAAGCUCUAAUCUUCUUCGGGAGAUCCUGGGACUCCUGGGUGGAUCUAGCCAGCAAUAACUUCAGUGGUUCUGGUGCUGGAAAGUCCUGGAGUUAGAUCUUUCGAUUGGAGCAACAGGAGCUUUGGGAUUCAUCCUUGAACUUCAAUGCUCUACAAUAGUUGCGUUCUUUGUCUAGCUCUUCAACAAUCACAAUAGGUAGGGAGGAGUAGUCUUGGUUGGCUUUCAUAUUGAAAAGCAAGUUUCUCAAGCUGGACUGCAUUCUAUCUUGAUCUUUGCUGUGCAACAUUGGAAGCUCUCCUGGUUUCUGAUUCCUCUAGUGAUUCUGAAUCCCUUCCUCUUCUCAUGUUGGCUACAUUGGAAGAGUAAAUUUAUUCAAUAAAAUUGCCAUUGGCUUCAUCCAUACAAGAGUAUGACAUCUCUCACAUACUCUUGUAAUCUUAUCCUGAGCACUUAUAACAAAUUUCAUCAAUAACUCUUGUGAGAGUAUUGAUAAAAUGUCUUCUUCACUUGCUACAUUUAUUAAUAUUUUCCUAGUUUGUCAAACUACCACAUUGUUAAUUUCCAUGCCAGUAUGGAAAACGAGCUUUAAAUGAUGAUGAUGAUGAUAUUUGUUAACAGUAAUGAAUGUAAUAAUAAAAAAAUUUCAUUGUUAAAAUUUAAUUGCUGUCAGUCAUUUCAUUUUACCAAGCUCUCUGAUCCUACUAUACCACUUCAUGACUUACCAAUAUCUCAAAAGUUAUUUGUUCAGUUUUUGCUUCAGGUAUUAUUGACGCAAACAAUGAAACAUAUUUUCAUUUACCAACUCUACAUUUUACCAACCCCCCAGCCAGCAAUGUAACUCUUCUUUGAAUCUCCUACUCUGCAUUGGCUCUUUCAACCUUGUGGACUGGAUAUGUUUGGGUGAUGAAAGUUGAGAGAUGCCUGAGUGGAGUUUGUAUAAGAUCAGCCAGUUCUAUGUAACUUAAAUAGUAGAAAAGCAGAGAAGAGACAGCUUGUCUGUGGCUCAGAGGAAGGAGUGUGUUUGUGAGUAACUUUACGCCCAUCUUCCAGUCAGACACUGCUGUUGUAUUUAGCUACUGUAAAUGUGGGUGCAGUACUCCAUUGUGGCUCUUACUAGAGCCUUGUAGAAGGUCAUUUGUUCAUGAGAGCUGGAGUAUUUUUUGAUCCUGAAGUAAAAGACCAGUCUUUGAGAUGUAGUUAUUGCUAUGUUUAUUAAUAUAGAAAUGUAGUAAAAUUUGCACUAUUGAAUCUUGACUUUUUAUAUAACUUGCAUAUCUUAUACAGUUUUUCUUUUAUUUCAGAAUAUCUCAUGGACUUGGAAUAUAAAUCUGUGGAGGAAUUACUGUGAAUUAUUUCCUCUGAGCUGUGAUUGUUACCAAUAAUUUAUUUGCUAUUUGAAAUCUG
rnacentral:lncRNA from 1 species